ACUCAAAGGAAUAGACGGGGGCUCACACAAGCGGUGGAGCAUGUGGCUUAAUUCGAAGCAACGCGAAGAACCUUACCCGGGUUUGACAUGCUUGGAUGCUUUACGCUGAUGAGGCAUAAAGCUGCCCUUCGGGGUGAAACUUGCACAGGUGUUGCACGGCUGUCGUCAGCUCGUGCUGUGAAGUGUCGGGUUAAGUCCCUUAACGAGCGAAACCCUUGUCGUCAGUUGCCAUCAGGUCAAGCUGGGGACUCUGGCGAGACUGCCGGCGUUAAGCCGGAGGAAGGCGGGGACGACGUCAAGUCAUCGUGGCCCUUAUGCCCGGGGAUGCACACGUGCUACAAUGGCGACUACAGAGGGCUGCAAGACCGUAAGGUGGAGCAAAUCCCAAAAAAGUCGCCCCAGUUCGGAUUGGAGGCUGCAAUUCGCCUCCAUGAAGUUGGAAUCGCUAGUAAUCGCGCAUCAGCUACGGCGCGGUGAAUGUGUUCCUGAGCCUUGUACACACCGCCCGU
rnacentral:rRNA from 1 species